AGUCACGCAGUGAGCACAGAGCAAACUAUUCUUUCGCCUUUUACUAAAGAAUACCGUGUGAUUGUUGUAGAUAGUGGCAUACGCCUAUUUUUGGAGGGCUCUUUCUUUUGAAAGUGC